rnacentral:snoRNA from 1 species
AUCCAUGCUUCCAUGGGACCUGCCAGCGUGGCAGCCUCCCUUCCUAUUCAUGGUAGAGCAAACGGCCCCCCUUGCCUCUUGGCAUAGCUCCUCCGUGGUCAGUUGGUGCGAGACUCUGACUUGGGCAAGGGACAGGU